CUUACUAUUGAAGGUGCAGAUUAUACAUCUUUUGACACAUAUUACUAACAUUGGGAAUAUCGUUACUCUCUAUCACAAGGUGCUUCCUAUCUUCUACAAGGUGACUCCAACCAAUGUGAAAAGACUUAAGGGAGAGUUUGGUGACCAUUUCAGAGAUAUAGAAUACAUGUACAAGUCUGACGAACCUAUGAUAAAGCAAUGGAAAGAGGCGAUCGUGUUUGUCUCCCAUAAGUUUGCCCUGACUUUGGAUGAAAAAAGGUACGAAUGUCAAUUCAUACUUUUAAUUCUAUGUUUUAUUGAGAGGCGAAAGAAAUCUCUAAUCUAGAAACAAAAUUUUGACAUAUUUCAACAUUGUAUAUGCAUUUACUUAAUUAGUUCAUCGAAAAUGUUAACGUAUUGUUAGAUCUGAUUAAAUUCAUCGAAGUCGUGCAACUUUUUUAUGUGUAUGUGCACGCUCAUGUGUCAACUUUGAAAGAACUCAUCUCGACCUUUUUUUAAACAAGUGUAGUAGCUUAUUGGAGAUUGAUUUCGUUGAAACUAUCGUCAAGGAGGUCUUGAAAAUGCUACAAGCCAUAUGCAAAGUGGAAAGUGGCCAAUCCUCUUUUUGUGUGGAGAAAGCCUGAAGCUCAAUUUUGAUGGUAAAGAAUCACACAUGAAGAUCACCAAAACGUUGGUUUAUUUACUUCAGCAGAGUAAUUUAUUAGUAUCAUUAAAUUAUUGAGUUAAGGAUUCUGGUUAUGUCUCAUUGAAAAAAAUGUUUCUUUAUAAGUAAAAACUUGAGAGCUCCUGAAAUUGUUUGUCAUUUUACCAAAAGUCUGAUCAUUGAUUCUUUGAAUGAUAUUGGGGUUAGCUUCGUUUUGAAGUACCACAGUUAUAUCUAGUAAUGUUAAUAUGGGCGGACCCAGCCCGUUUAAGCCCGACCCGUUUAAAUCCGGCCCGUUUAACAUAAUAUGGUGCUGAGUGACUCAACCAUCACGAACCAACAAAAAGACAAAUAAACCCCAUAUCUUUUCUUUUUAAUCUGUUUAAAUUUAGACAUGAUUAACAACUGUUGAUUCUUGUGGCUGGUUCGAUCUUCAAAGGUAAAAAAUCAAGUGAAGGUUAUGUUGCCUCCUGUUGUUGUCUUUAUAAUCUUAGAACUAUACUUCUCUUCUAUUCUAAUUUUUGCAAUAGAUUUCCACCUCUGUGUUUUUCAUCCUUGUAUUUCUCUUCUCGAUGCAGUAAAGAAAUUUAAGUUAAAUGCUCUCACCUAAGUUUAACAGAAUUUUAUGAACGAUGUAGGAUACAUUUGUAUUGGGCCUCAUAUUUUUGAGGCCCAAAUUUCCAAAUUUUUUUUUUUUAAGGCUCCAAAAUUAGCAAAAAAAAUUUUCAAAAUUAGUAAAAAGACCUCAUAAUUAAUAAAAAUACUCUAUAAUUAGUAAAAAAAUCUCAUAAUUAAUAAACAAUGUCCAAAAAUUAAAAAAAAUUAAUAAAUAAAAUUAUGAAUGUCUCAUAAUUAACAAAAAAAAAAACAAAAAGUAGUAGUUUUUAUUUUUUAAAAAGCCCCAAUUUUUUUUUGUAUUUGGCCCCAGAACUAUUGAAAGCUUUGUAAGGAACUAUUGAAAGCUUUGUAAGGAACAUCAUUUUAAUGUCUCAUAAUUCAUCUUUCCACUAUGGAUUCUGGCUGCUAAUAUGCAGACUACAUUCUGCCUGCAAGUUAAGCCUCAUCUACGAGUGUGUGUGUCGAUCAGGCUGUCUCCACCUGGCCUCAGCCGUAGGAGACUUAAAGGUUUUCCGACUAGACCAGGCCUAAAUUUUUUAGUCUAAUAAAUAUGACGCACAAGCAAGAACUAAUAAUAAAUAUGACGCACAAGCAAGAACUAACACAUGAUUAGAAAAACAGACACCCAAAUUAUGUGCCAAAUCAAACAUAUGAUUUUGAAUCUUACAACAUAACAUCAUUGGAAAAACUGAAAAUUUACAUUUUUAUGGAACAGUGACUCGAAAACAGAACAAAUUUAUAGUCAUGCAAGACAAGAGACAUUAAAGAAGACUUCAGAUAUACACUGAAUUUGGUCUGCUGAAAUGAAAAACGAAAUAUUUACUGAUUGCGUAAACAAGUCAAGUUCUUACCACUUUUGGAUUUCAUAUGAGUGUUUGACAAGAAACAGUCAAAAGACUUGAGAUGUUUACUGAUUGCAGGUGACAGGAAUUAGGACGUCUCCUCCUUGAGCUUUGUGAACAUCAAAUUCUCCAAAGGACGGAUCUUGAACACAUCAUAUUCUAAAUUUAGAUUAGUCAACCCCCGCUGAAGACUUUGGCUCAUCUCGAGUGCUUUUUGACAUAUCUUUCUUUUAAAUGUAGGCGGUGAUUCUACCAAGUCUGGAUUUGUUAUCCUUCCUUGGCUACUUUGGAAGCUUCUGAGUUUCAGGAAGUCUAAGAUAUGGGGCUCAGGUGUUUGUAAAACGGGUUUUCGCUGAUUGUCUAAGAAUUCGUGUAAACUCUUAACAAAUAGUGUGACCGGAGGAAAGAUGGUCUUAAUGGAUGAUACCUCGAAUUUCAAUUCGACAUUAGAUGGAAAUUCUGGGAAACUUUGGACUUGUGUGCAACCAGAGAGAUCAACGACUCUAAGUUGAUGCAACUGAUGAAUGUCAGGGAAUCUUUUCAAGUUCUUACAGCCGCAAAGAUCAAGUUUCUCAAGGUUUCGAGCUUCUGAAAGUUCAUCAACUUCAAGCAGAUUCUGUGAAUGGCGCAGGUUGAUCCUCUUCAGCAUCUUGAGGUUCUGAAAAUAAAGAGAAACACAGUUGAAGUAAUUGGCUAAAGGAAUAACAGAGAAGGUACUACUUUUCAUUUGAGUCUACUUACUUUGGUUCCUUUCCAAAGUGUUUGGAGUUGGCUGUAAGGCAUAUUCUUAGGUUACUCAAGGUCCCCCUCGUAUUUUAAGCUGCAGCUGCCGUCCUCGGGGUCUUUUUUGACUCCNNNNNNNNNNNNNNNNNNNNNNNNNNNNNNNNNNNNNNNNNNNNNNNNNNNNNNNNNNNNNNNNNNNNNNNNNNNNNNNNNNNNNNNNNNNNNNNNNNNNUAUCUUAUUUAGGAAAAGAAAUUGAUUUAAGAUCUAUACCAAUGUUAUUACUUACUAUUGAAGGUGCAGAUUAUACAUCUUUUGACACAUAUUACUAACAUUGGGAAUAUCGUUACUCUCUAUCACAAGGUGCUUCCUAUCUUCUACAAGGUGACUCCCACCAAUGUGAAAAGACUUAAGGGAGAGUUUGGUGACCAUUUCAGAGAUAAAGAAUACAUGUACAAGUCUGACGAACCUAUGAUAAAGUAAUGGAAAGAGGCGAUCGUGUUUGUCUCCCAUAAGUUUGCCCUGGCUUUGGAUGAAAAAAGGUACGAAUGUCAAUUCAUACUUUUAAUUCUAUGUUUUAUUGAGAGGCGAAAGAAAUCUCUAAUCUAUAAACAAAAGUUUGACAUAUUUCAACAUUGUAUAUACAUUUACUUAAUUAGUUCAUCGGAAAUGUUAACGUAUCGUUACAUCUGAUUAAAUUCAUCGAAGUCGUGCAACUUUUUUAUGUAUCUGUGCACGCUCAUGUGUGAACUUUGAAAGAACUCAUCUCGACCUUUUUUUAAAACAAGUGUAGUAGCGUAUUGGAGAUUGAUUUCGUUGAAACUGUCGUCAAGGAGGUCUUGAAAAUGCUACAAGCCAUAUGCAAAGGGGAAAGCGGUCAAUCCUCUUUUUGUGUGGAGAAAGCCUGAAGCUCAAUUUUGAUGGUAAAGAAUCACACAUGAAGAGCACCAAAACGUUGGUUUAUGUACUUAAGCAGAGUAAUUUAUUAUCAUUAAAUUAUUGAGUUAAGGAUUCUGGUUAUGUCUCAUUGAAAAAAAAUGUUUCUUUAUAAGUAAAAACUUGAGAGCUCCUGAAAUUGUUUCUUUGUCAUUUUACCAAAAGUACUAUGAUCAUUGAUUCUUUGAAUGAUAUUGGGGUUAGCUUCGUUUUGAAAUACCACAGUUAUAUCCAAUACUAUUGGACCAAUAGUGUCUUACCAUUGAUUCUUUUUAAAGUUGCAGAUGCUGGGUGAUGAAGUGCAGUAUUUGAUACUUUUUUUUUUUGUUUUAAAUUAGGUUAUCAGUUUUAUGUUCCUUAUUUAAUUUGUCUCCUAUUUCUUGUUUUGAGUAUUAUUUGAUUCUUGGUUUUGGGUCUCUUUGGUGUAUAAGCCCCAUGGAACUGGUAGUGAAAGAUAUACUUUAAUACAUAGUUUUUGAAUCGCUCUCAAGCAUCAAAGAUUGUUCUUAUAACUCUUUGUUAAAAUCCUUGUAUCUUGUUCCUCAAGAGGUUGGAGUGAGACUUAGUGUAAAAGUGAUUAAGAAAGGCUACUUUGGUAGAGACUUCAACCACAAGCUCUUCAGUAGCUUAACAAGAUGAUGUUUAUAAUUUCAAUGGAACAUCAAGAAACGUAUGGACCAAAGAUUUGCUGAACGUGCAUCUGACAAUGAUAGAGAGUGCUGAGCAAGAUUUCCAACAAAACUGGCUUGUUCUUUGCAACGCAAGGCUAAACUAUAUGUUUAAUCCUUUUCUUUGAUAUGUUAUUAUAAUGAAAAAUUCAGUAAAUCUUAUCGUCAGAAAUAUUGGCUGUUAAUGGUUUCGUCUUCAGCAAGUAGAAGUAGCUUGUCCUCCACUGAACAAAACAGAGUAAGAAAAAACAGAGCAAAAUCCAAAUCCGAUUGGGCCAAAGCCAAACAGAGGUACUAUCUUCCUCUGCUUGUCUUGUCAUGAGAUAAAAUUUGAAAAACGUUUUCAUCAUGUUUAUAUCCUGCCAAGUGCCAGCUCGAUCAUUACAGAGGUGAUUCGUCAUGCUCCUCCUAAUCAUCAGUAUGAAUGGAGGUCUUGAUAUCUACUAAUGGCGGCAUGGUAUGAAUCAAUGCCGUCCGACAUUCUCUUCGGAUUUUUCUGUUUUUGGUGAGAUUGGCUUCUCAAAACACUCUUUGAUCUGCUCACUUUCUAUUUUAUCUACCUUUCCACUUGAAUUAAAAUUGCUUUCGCAUUUUCUUCUUAGCAUCAACGUCUUUUUAUUGCUGUAAAAAGUAUUUUUUUGUCUCUCAAUAAGUUUAAAAUUAAAACAAAAAUAUAUCUGGGAGGAAGGUUGAACGUUUGAGUAGCUCAAGAGACUUCAACAUAGUAAUUCGAACACAUUUGAUUUAAAUGUAGUAUCUCUUAAGCAGCCUUCUUAAUUCAGUCCUUUUAUCUUCUUUAUGCCUCCUCCGUACGUUUGAUACUCCUGCAACCAGAUAGAUUCAGAAAUUAAAGAUUCUUUAGCUGUGGGAUGCUCUUCAAGCUUGUACAACCUUAAAGAUCUGUUUUCUCGAGGCUACAAGCUUUCGCGAGUUCGUCAACGUCAAGUAGUUUCUGAGAGUGGCUAAGAUUUAUCAUCUUUAAUCUGGCUAGAACUCAUCUUCGUUGGUUCAUCUCGAUGAUGCAUACAGAUGAUGCAUCUGGAUGUUGUUCGUUUUUGUAUUUGGUUGUGCAUCUGGAUUGACUAUCUGAAUAAAGCUUAUGUUUAGUUUUUAAGAAUUCUCAUGUAGUAUUAAGGAUGGACCAUCCAGAUGAACUAACGAACAUCAUUUUAAAUCAGCCCGGCCUCAGCUUAGCGGGCGCAAAUGUAUUCCGACCUGACCAGGCCUGAAUUUUUUCAGUCUAAAAAAUACUACGCACAAGCACAUGACAUAAUUCGGAAAAUAAACACUCAAAUAAAACAUAUGAAAGUCCGUCUUUAACAGCAAAAGCUCACUGAACACACUGAAAAUAUUACAUCUUUAUGGAACAAUGAUAUCAAAACAGAACGUUUUUUUUUUGUUUUUUUAGUCAUGCAUGACAAUUAUUGACAGGGAACAUGAGAAGAAGACUUCAUUUAUAUAGUAAAUCUGGUCCGCUGAAAUGCAAAUCUCCUCUUUGACGUUUUUGAACUCCAAAUGCUCAAGACGAGAGAUUUGUGUACCCAUAUCCUUCGAUUUGGCUACUUCAACUGAAGACUUGAGGUUCUUUUUAUUGCUUUCUGCAAUAUCAUAGCUAAUAUGGUUGGUGAUUCCAUCAUAUCUGGAUUUGUUAUCCUUUCUUGGCUACUCAAGAAGCUUCCGAGUUUCUGAAAGUCAAAGAUUUGUUGUCCAGAAGGAUUGUCGAAGAGCUCCAGUAAGCUUUUGAUGGUGAAUGUGACUGGAGGGAAGAAUUUCUUAAUGGUAGUUCCCUGGAAUUUCAAUGUGACAUUAGAUAGAAACUCAGGGUAACUUUUGAUUUGUGUGCAACCAGAGAGAUCAACAACUUGGAGUUUUUGCAAUUGAUAAAUGGCUGGAAAACUUUGCAAGUUCUUACAGCCACUGAGAUCAAUUUGCUAAUAACGCUCCAUGUACGUGUUUACAUGUAUACAAAUGUUAAUAACGCUUUAUAUGAAUAUUAUAUGUAUUUACAUGUACACAUAGACCGAAGUAUUUAACACUAUAAUUAUUUUUAACGCUCUAUGUAUUUGUUUAUCUGUAUAUAAAUGUCAAAAUCGUGUAAAAUAUUCAUUGGAUGUCCAUGCAGCUAGGUUAGUUGUUUAAAAAAAUCGAAAAACUAUUUCUUGGGUGUCCAUACAACUAUGUUGGUUGUUUACAUUUUUCGAUUCCCAUCUAAAACUGUUUUCGUUAUUGUUUCAAAUUAGAUAAAGUUCAAAAAAAGUCGAUUGCAUUUAAUAAUUGUCACCCCGUUAUUUCUAUCAACUGGUGAACAUUUAUUACAUGUCAGGUUUUAUUUUCGAUGUCUUAAAAGUCAAAAGCAUCUCUCCACGCGCAGAGAUAAAUCAAGUGGUGUUUUUUUCGUAAUUAAACUGAACUCCAAAUCCAUUUAUCUAAUUUAUUUAUCUUUGUUAAAGACCAAAAACUCAUAUUGUCGAUUAGCUAAUUUUAUGUCCAGUUUUUGUUUCUGCACAAAUUCACCCAAGAAAAAAGUGAAACAAAUCUCACCAACAAAUAACAAAUUUUCACCGAUUUUCUGCAACCUAUGUUCUCCGAUGGGGAUUUUGGGAGAUGCUUUUGUCGUUUUCAAAGAAAAUUAAGCGAAUUUGAGAUAUGUGUUGAGAAUUGAAGGUAAUCGGAGAGAUAAUCUCGCGAAAUUUACAAAAAUAAAAAAUUUGUCUUAUUAAUUUUUUUUAAAAAAUUGUUAUUUAUUUAUAAUUAAAAUACAUAGUUUUCAAAAUAAUAUUUAGAGAAUAAGGUUUUAAAUCUUGAUUGUAAACCUAAACAUUUUUCAUUAUCAUUGAAAUAUUUACAUUUUUAGCAAAAAAAAAAGAAAAAAAAAGUGAAAAGGGUAAAUAUGGAUAUUUCCCAAAAUUUUGUUUUGUAAAUGAAAUAUACAAAAGGGCAAAACAUAUUUUGUCAUGGAAUCGUUUUUAAAAAUACAUGUUAUCUCUUUUGGUGCGAAGAACUUUCACCAAGUCGCGAAUGCACGGUGAAGUUAAGCCACCGAGAAAUAUCCAAGUUUUCAUCAAUUUCCGCGGAGAUCAGUUGCACUACAAUUUCGUCAGCUAUCUUGUGGAUGCACUUCGGAGAAGUGAGAUCAACGUGUUCAUAGACAAUGAGGAGCAAAGAGGUGAAGACCUCAACACUCUUUUCAAGAGGAUCGAAGAAUCUGGGAUUGCCAUAGUUGUGAGCUUGUUAAGAUUAAAGAACGUGUGGACGAAGGCCUGCUCAAGGUGUGAUCAAUAAACAUUGGAUAUACCUCUAUAUAUCUUAUUUAGGAAAAGAAAUUGAUUUAAGAUCUAUACCAAUGUUAUUACUUACUAUUGAAGGUGCAGAUUAUACAUCUUUUGACACAUAUUACUAACUUUGGGAAUAUUGUUACUCUCUAUCACAAGGUGCUUCCUAUCUUCUACAAGGUGACUCCAACCAAUGUGAAAAGACUUAAGGGAGAGUUUGGUGACCAUUUCAGAGAUAAGGAAUACAUGUACAAGUCUGACGAACCUAUGAUAAAGCAAUGGAAAGAGGCGAUCGUGUCUGUCUCCCAUAAGUUUGCCCUGGCUUUGGAUGAAAAAAG
rnacentral:lncRNA from 1 species